GCUAGUUUAAAGAGCACCUAUUAUGAGAUACACGUUUUUAAACAUCCUUUUGUGUGUAAGUGUGUAUUAGUACAUGCUAACGAUAUUCAAAAAGUACAUACCUCAAAGAAAACGAUGACGCGAGUUAUCGUCUCUAACGUUCGAGGACUACAAAAAACACUCGGAUUGUAGGCAACAGUUUACUUCCUGGGAUUGGUGACGUAGAUAAGACCAACAUUAUCAUAGUUCAGCCCUCUCUGCUUGGCUUGGGUACGCCCUCAAAGACGGGGGUGGAGAGCGCUGAGUCAGAAGAGAGCUAAAAUGGCGGAGGUUGGGAGUCCCUGCUUUGACCCUGUUUGCAAACUCUUGUUUCAUUGUUUAAGCGAUUAAAUCUCUCGAGUAGACGCUGUCUCUUUAGAUGCAAGGGCAAAAUAGCACUUUAUGGACUAACACAGAGGACAUCAUGUUUAAUACGGUUCCGGAAAAAUCCAGUCAGAAGUUGUUCACGGAGUUUUCACAAUAACUGCUUCUCAUGAACCAAAGCUGCGCGACGUCUCCUCCUGAAAGUUGGAUUACCGUGCACUUCUGGAUCACAGGCUAUUCGCAGCUGGACACAUCCUUCUACACUGUAUGCAAACAUGCAACAUCAUUACACACAGUACAACCCUACUGAAAAAUCCAGCUAAAACCAGCAUAAGCUGGUAGCUGGUUUUAGCUGGCUUUAGCUGGUUUAAGGUGGUUUACGCUGGUCCUCCCAGCCUGACAAAGCUGGUCAUGCUGGUGGGCCAGCUGGUAUUCCAGCAUGACCAGCUAAGUCCAGCUAGACCAGCUUAAAAUGUGACCAAAACACAGCUAGACCAGCCUGCUACACCAGCAAAACCAGCUUCUAACACCAGCAAAACCAGCUAAAACCAAGCUGGGGACCGGCUAAAACCAGCUCACCAGCUUAUGCUGGUCUUAGCUGGAUUUUUCAGUAGGGAAGGCAUAUGAGGAGCAAAGGAACCCAGGCAGUAGCAUCGUUUCACAAUGUUUCAAUCACCAUCAUCAGUGGAUGCCUUUGCCGUCCGUAGCCUGAGAUUUCAGAUUUGCAGCAAAAAAUGUGACUUUCCCAUUUAUUGGAAUGCUGUGCAGGUUGUACCUUGCAGCCAUCCAUUACAAUGUCACCAAGCCAUAACAAAAGCAGGAGAGGGAAAGUACAAGGCUAUGUUCCCAAAACACACAAGUGACAUACUGUAAGCAGUAAUGUUUUAUUUCAAAUACAUUCAUAAUUAAAAACUUAAUGUAUGAAGCAGGGAAAUAAAUUAUCAAAACAAAAGAUUUAUUGACUGCAAUAUUUGUACAGUUAUGUGGAUGAUGUGAUCAGGCUUGUGUUUGAUGAGGUAUUUGAAGAUAAGCUGAAGGAAACCCCGAUUCCAAUGGACCUGGCAUCACAGUUUGAGAGACCUUCAAAGGAGGACGUGAUUGCAUGCCAUCUUCAGUGCAGGGGUCGUCGGAAGCCAACAUUCCGAUCAGGAAGCUCCAAGCAUAUCUGGAGAACAACACACGACAGGAUGAUAACCCUAAAGUGUCGUCUUAGAUAGCACCAGCUGACAAAGCUUUGAUAUGCCAUUUAUCUGAAUAGAUAGCUGUAAGAAGUGAAUUGAACAAUUUUUUGAAAGAAGAGCACAAUAUGGUUACUAAAGUAUGUUUAUUUGUAUAUUGUUUAACAGUUAAAUAUAUAUUUGUAAUAAAUAAACUUUUGACUGACUACUA